rnacentral:piRNA from 1 species
UAUUAGGUAUUCAAGCCCGGCUCCUCCAGC